CAAUAGCGUAUAUUAAAGUUGUUGCAGUUAAAAAGCUCGUAGUUGGAUUUCUGGGAGGGUGCCAAUGUCCGUCGUCGUACGUGUUGCAGCGGCGCCCUUCCAUCCUUCUGUUAACGACUUUGGGCAUUCAUUUGCCGGAGUCGGGCUCAGAUAUUUUUACCUUGAGAAAAUUAGAGUGUUUCAGGCAGGCUAGGCCGGAAUACAUUAGCAUGGAAUAAUGGAAUAGGACUACGGUCUCUUUGUUGGUUUGAGGGACUGCAGUAAUGAUUAAUAGGGAUAGUUGGGGGCAUUAGUAUUUAAUUGUCAGAGGUGGAAUUCUUGGAUUGUAUUGCGACGAACUACUGCGAAAGCAUUUGCCAAGGAUGUUUUCAUUGAUCAAGAACGAAAGUAAGGGGAUCGAAGAUGAUUAGAUACC
rnacentral:rRNA from 1 species